rnacentral:rRNA from 1 species
UACAGAGGUCUCAAGCGUUGCUCGGAUUCAUUGGGCGUAAAGGGUGUGUAGGUGGCGCCGUAAGUCGGGUGUGAAAUUUCGGAGCUUAACUCCGAAACUGCAUUCGAUACUGCGGUGCUUGAGGACUGGAGAGGAGACUGGAAUUCAUGGUGUAGCAGUGAAAUGCGUAGAGAUCAUGAGGAAGACCAGUGGCGAAGGCGGGUCUCUGGACAGUUCCUGACACUGAGACACGAAGGCCAGGGGAGCAAAACGGG